rnacentral:rRNA from 1 species
GAUGAACGCUGGCGGCGUGCCUAAUACAUGCAAGUCGAGCGAACAGAUAAGGAGCUUGCUCCUUUUACGUUAGCGGCGGACGGGUGAGUAACACGUGGAUAACCUAUCUAUAAGACUUGGAUAACUUCGGGAAACCGUAGCUAAUACCGGAUAACAUCUUGAACUGCAUGGUUCAAUAGUGAAAUGCGGCUUUGCUGUCACUUAUAGAUGGAUCCGCGCCGUAUUAGCUGGUUGGUAAGGUAACGGCUUACCAAGGCAACGAUACGUAGCCGAACUGAGAGGGGGAUAGCCCACACUGGAACGGAGACGGCGACCAGACGCCUGAGAGAGGCAGCAGUAGGGAAUCUUCCGCAAUGGGCGAAAGCAUGACGGAGCAAGGCCGAGUGAGUGAUGAAGGUCUUCGGAGCGUAAAACUCGGUUAUCAGGGAAAAACCAAUGUGUAAGUAACUGUGCACAUCUUGACGGUACCUGAACAGAAAGCCACGGCUAACUACGUG